rnacentral:rRNA from 1 species
GAUGAACGCUGGCGGCGUGCCUAAUACAUGCAAGUCGAGCGAACAGACGAGGAGCUUGCUCCUCUGACGUUAGCGGCGGACGGGUGAGUAACACGUGGAUAACCUACCUAUAAGACUGGGAUAACUUCGGGAAACCGGAGCUAAUACCGGAUAAUAUAUUGAACCGCAUGGUUCAAUAGUGAAAGACGGUUUUGCUGUCACUUAUAGAUGGAUCUGCGCCGCAUUAGCUAGUUGGUAAGGUAACGGCUUACCAAGGCAACGAUGCGUAGCCGACCUGAGAGGGUGAUCGACCACCCUGGAACGGAGACACGCACCAGACUCCUACGGGAGGCAGCAGUAGGGUAUCUGCCGCAAUGGGCGGGAACCUGACGGAACAGCGCCACGUAUGAUAUGAAAGUCUUCGGAUCGUAAAGCUCGGUUAUUGGGGAUGAACAAAUUUCGAAGGAACUCUACACGUCUUGACGGUACCUUGUCAAAAAGCCACGGCUAACUACGUG